rnacentral:rRNA from 1 species
AUUGAACGCUGGCGGCAGGCCUAACACAUGCAAGUCGAGCGGAUGAAGGGAGCUUGCUCCUGGAUUCAGCGGCGGACGGGUGAGUAAUGCCUAGGAAUCUGCCUGGUAGUGGGGGAUAACGUCCGGAAACGGGCGCUAAUACCGCAUACGUCCUGAGGGAGAAAGUGGGGGAUCUUCGGACCUCACGCUAUCAGAUGAGCCUAGGUCGGAUUAGCUAGUUGGUGGGGUAAAGGCCUACCAAGGCGACGAUCCGUAACUGGUCUGAGAGGAUGAUCAGUCACAGUGGAAAUGAGACACGGUUGAGACUACGACGGGAGGGACCAGUGUGGGAUAUGGGACAAGGUUCUGAAACUUUAGCCAACUGUGCGGCGUGUGGGUGGAAGGUUUUUUGAUUCCUAAGUACUUUGCGUUGGCAACAAGAGCAGUAACCUGAUAACUUCCUGCUUCGACCGUACGAACAAAAUAACAGCGCCCUCGCCUCGUG